UACAGCUUUUGAUUAGUGUGCAGUUUUAUAUCCGUUUGGAUCUGUUUUUUAAAGACAGUUGAAUUGCACAUUACAGCUGUGUACGGUUUCAGAUCAUAGAUUUUGGAUCAGCGUACUAUUUUACAUCAUGAAUAGGACAACAUUUCGCAGGCAAAAGCCCAGGGAAGAUCUCAUUCCUGUACAACUACCUGUGUGUGGUUCAGACUCAGACAUGCCUAGACUGAGACCACAACCGCCACCGCUUAAACGGAGACCACAACCACCGCCACCGCCUAGACUGAGACCAAAACCACCGCCUCAACGACACCCAGAGGGCAUUGUGACGAUGAGGGAGCGCUUUCACCAGAACAGAAUUAUGAUGAGAGAAAAGUCCCCGAUGUCCAGCCGAGGGCAGUUUGUCGAGCUUCCUCCUAUCCCCAGCUCUUCCCAGCCCACAGCUAAGCCAGUCCAGCAAACUGUUGCACAACAAAUGCCCAAGGAAGUAAGGACCAUGAACCAUUACAAAAAGGAAGAGGAAAAAGCACCGGAGAAGAAGUCGGCGUAUUUCAGCCCUAUUGCCUUCGGCUGUUCCCAGCCCAGAGGCUUGUAUUCACAAUCAAAAUACGAACCCAUAAGAAGACCAAACAAAUAUGCAACGCUCGAGUCUCCAACAUUUCCCUCCAUGUUUGAUGAGUGCGAAAAGCCGAUGCUGUCGCUGCCUGUCCGAAGAAAAGUUGCCUUCGGCUCUACCCAGCCCAGUGGCAGGUAUCCAUACCAAAUAGACGAGGUCUGGAGAAGAAUGGACAUUUUUCCAAAGUGCAUGCACAGGCCCCAAUGUCCUCCUUGGCUGUCUUGUGAGACAUGCCUAGACUGAGACCACAACCACCGCCUCAAAAACACCAUUGCGACGAUGAGGGAGCGCUUUCACCAGAACAGAAUUAUGAUGAGAGAAAAGUCCCCGAUGUCCAGCCGAGGGCAGUUUGUCAAGCUUCCUCCUAUCCCCAGCUCUUCCCAGCCCACAGCUAAGCCAAUCCAACAAACACAACAAAUGCCCAAGGAAACCCGUUCUUUGUACCUGGCUUAAAACAUCCGAGAUCAAAUGAGACAUCCAAGAUAAUAUCAUCAAAUAUCAAAAAAAUAUGUUGCCAUGAGUUAUUGAUAAAAUUUCCCCCCAGUAUCACUUCAAUACACUAACACUUUUAUGUGUUCCCAAGCAAGUGGCUGAAGCAUGUGCAGUAAGUGGACUUUUUCUAAUGUUACAUCAAAAGGGAAGAAAGUACAACAUUUUGUAAUGCCCAUUUUUCCCCAAUGCACAGGACAGUGAAGAAACCCUCUCAGGUAUCUUUAAGUGCAUACAUAGCUUUACUUGAUUUACACUUGAUUGCAUUUAUUUUUGAAUGCAAUAUGAGUUGCAGGAGUCCACAAAUACAGAAGAGUCUGCACAAAGCAGUGAGGCAGAGGUGGGCAGUGUUUUACUUUUCCUUUUAAUUUUUGAUGCAUAACCCAUGUGUUGACAGGUUCACCCCCUACCCGAGUAUUUUGAAAAUACUUGACAACUUAAAGAAAAAAAAAACUGGCACUAGAGAUGGAGUUGCUUCAUAGGAACUUCAGAAUAAGUGCACACAGAGUACAAUAUUAUUUGCAGGCAAAAGAUGACUUGAUCACUGGCUUUUCUUUACAAAGAAUCAUUCAAAUAAAACUCAAAGAACUAAGCAUAUUUGUCUUGUCUUUUAUUAAACAUUAAUGAAAUGUUUUAUAUUUUUUCUGAUGGUGCAAUGUUGUGUAA